CCUGUGCCUGGCCGAGCUGGAUCAGGUCGCCGAGUCGGCGGCCCGGUGGGAGCCGUUCGACGCGGCCACCCUGGCC
rnacentral:tRNA from 1 species